rnacentral:rRNA from 1 species
GGUCGUGGGAUUCGGUCCGCCCCUCGCGGGGUGUGUACCAGGAUUCUGCAGCCAUCCUCUGGAAGGCUGCAUCUGGCAUUUAGUUGUUGGGUGUAGAAUUCUAGUCAUUUACUGUGAGCAACAUAGCGCGUUCAAAGCAGGCUUAGGCCGUUGAAUACAUUAGCAUGGAAUAAUAAGAUAGGACCUUGGUCUAUUUUGUUGGUUUGCGUUCCAAGGUA